GGCUUCCGGAGCUAACGCGUUAAGUCGACCGCCUGGGGAGUACGGCCGCAAGGUUAAAACUCAAAUGAAUUGACGGGGGCCCGCACAAGCGGUGGAGCAUGUGGUUUAAUUCGAUGCAACGCGAAGAACCUUACCUACUCUUGACAUCCAGAGAACUUUCCAGAGAUGGAUUGGUGCCUUCGGGAACUCUGAGACAGGUGCUGCAUGGCUGUCGUCAGCUCGUGUUGUGAAAUGUUGGGUUAAGUCCCGCAACGAGCGCAACCCUUAUCCUUUGUUGCCAGCGGUCCGGCCGGGAACUCAAAGGAGACUGCCAGUGAUAAACUGGAGGAAGGUGGGGAUGACGUCAAGUCAUCAUGGCCCUUACGAGUAGGGCUACACACGUGCUACAAUGGCGCAUACAAAGAGAAGCGACCUCGCGAGAGCAAGCGGACCUCAUAAAGUGCGUCGUAGUCCGGAUUGGAGUCUGCAACUCGACUCCAUGAAGUCGGAAUCGCUAGUAAUCGUAGAUCAGAAUGCUACGGUGAAUACGUUCCCGGGCCUUGUACACACCGCCCGUCACACCAUGGGAGU
rnacentral:rRNA from 2 species